UUCUUGUGGAGUUAUUGUUGAAACAUAAUGAUGGGUCGCUGACUUUUCCUGGAAUUGAUAUCCAUAAGCUCAAUCAUGAUUUGAUGCUUAUCGAAAAUCAAAUACCUUUUUCUGUUCUCAAACUCAUAUAUCAAAAUACAGAUUUGGUGGAACAAGACCAAAGGUUCAGUCUCUUCGAUCUGGCAAUUAAUUACCUGCACAAUGGAGAGAAGAGUAUUGACGGUGUAUAUAAAGAAGUCGGUAAUGUGGACCAUCUUCUCCAUUUGCUCUACAUGUGUCGGUUGAAUCGGGUUCAGUUAAAAAAUGCUCCUUUACGAAUGAAGCCAUGGUUGUAUCGUUUGCUAUACAUCUUGAUAGCGACAUUGUUUCUUGUCAUCUUUUUCACCAACAGAUAUUAUAGGGAAAUGCCCAAACACGAUCUCUGGAAAAAAAUAUUGUUACUAUCAACACCUUCCUUGAUAAUAAUAAUAAUACUCAGGGAAAGUGGUAUGAUGUACUAUCUAUGGGAAGGGAUUUCUUUUUUGUUUGUCGGAAUUUGUUAUCUUGUUAUCAUUUGGGUGGAAGCAGGAACUAAGUACACAGCAAAAUCUGUAAAAACGAAUUGUCCUUUGAUACAUGGCCUCACACAAACCCCGACAGUAACAGAAAUCACUUAUUCUGGGAUAAUUUGGUCAGGUAUCGGUCAUACAGUCACAUACAAGGUUUUUUUUAAGUCCAAUAAGAUGCAUGCUGGAUUGAUGUUGAUAAAUGACAAUAGCUUUUCGGAAUUUGAGAAUUUGUUAUUUUACGAACAGAUAUACUUUUUACCUAGAUUGUCAGAAAAUGAAAAGAUUGAUGAACUGUAUAUAACCACAUACGCAGUGUACAUGAGAAACAUGGUGACGACGGAGUCGGACGUAAUUUUCCUGAGAAAGCACGGGGUUCUGAAAUCAACAUCGAGUUUCUUAGAAGAUAAGGAAAUAACUAGUUUCUUUUGUAAGCAAAGACCGUGGUUGGUGCUUACAAAAUUAAAUCAGAAAAAUAUCCGUUCUCAAUUCAGAUCACUUGAGAAGUUCUGCAGUUCCGGCCACCGCAAACGUAAAGCCAAACUAAGGAAGGAUUACUUCGUAAGCACGCUGGUAAUAUUUGCUUUUUUGGGCUUCAUCAUUGUUACUGCCCUCACUGUUAUUCAAACGGUUUAUGCAGUACGUCAAGCUAAUUAGAACUAAUUAGUCUCACCUCAAGGGGAUAUAGAUGUUAUGUUUUUCUUUAAUAAAGUGAAUUUCUUUUAAGAUCAAUUAUAGUCAUUCCUUAAAAUAUGGGAGUUGUACUUGUGAUUUAAAUGGGAAAUUUCUUAAAUUAGAACAGGACAAGGUUAUUGUAUUUCUAUUAGAUUUGAAUAAUGUUUUUACAAAUGUGAGAACACAAAUCCUUGCUCACAAGGAGGUGUUAUCCAUGGAUGAAACUCUAUGCAUGGUCACAACUGAAGAAGACUACAAAAGUGACUUUGUAACUUCAAAAUUCAAAGAUAAACACCCUACCAUUGCACAAGCAAGUCUGAAAAUGUUAUAAUUGAAAUUGAUAAUAGAAAAAAGUCAUUUUUCAUAAGGAUAUUUUUUAAACAAAAAUGGAAAGAGAUUGAAUAAAAAAUAAUGGUGUGACCAUUGAGAUAAACAUGGUCACACCCGUUCUACUUUAUUAAAUCAUCUAAUUCUGUUUGCUCAGCAAUUAAAGAAAUUCCGGCCACCCAAAAUCAGUUAACAAUAGAUACACGUCAUGGUAACGGAGCUGAUAAUCUAUGUUUUGGGUAUGACCGAUUGGGUCAGACUACUACGGCUAAGCCCAUAUGUAAACAUGUGUAAAAUUCCUGCCAAGCUGGUUAAUGCUAAUGCAAGUUUCAAUGCGAAGAUCUGCUUACCCGCAACAAGAGCAACACCGUAGAAAGAUACAUGUAGGCAGUCAAAGAGGUGUAUCUAUUUCUUGAAGAAGAAGAAGAAGAAAAGUAUUGUGAUUUCGGUGUUUGUAAAAUCUUCGAUGAUACCUUUUUGAAGGUGUUGGUGCCUGACGGUUAUUUUCCUGUGGAGUUACUGUUGAAACAUAAUAAUGGGUCACUGACUUUUUCUAGAAUUGUUAUACAUAAGCUCAAUCAUGGUUCGAUCCUUAUCGAGAACCAUGUACCAUUUUCUGUUCUCAAACUUAUGUAUAUAUCAAAAUAGGAUUUGGUGGAACUAUUGGAUUGAUCAUCCUCAUCAACCAUGAAGAGGAUUGGAUCAAUGCUUGAAGAUGAAGAACUAAGAGCAACCUUGGGUGCCAUGAGUGAAAGAAGAAAAAGAAGAAGAAAGAAGAGGGUAUACGUGUUGCACACUAAUUUGGUGCGUAAGAGUAAUUACAGAGACCUCUAUUUCGAGAGUCUCCGAUCUAUGAUUGGAAUAAAACGAUCAAAAUUUGAGAAGGAGCAUAAUUGAAAAUAGGUACAGUAACCUGGUCCGAGCAGUUUGCCUCCGAUCAACUGAUCGGAAGGAUCAAUGAUGUAAGAGACGAGAGCGUUGCUACUGAAGCAGCCGAGUUCGGGACAGAUCUGAUUCGUAGCAGCGAUCGGCGAAGUUUACUUCCGUGCCGGAAAGGAAGAUCGCUCACGGACAGCUUGACAAAGAUCUUCAAAGAACGGUAGUAACUAACUCGCAAACGCGAACUGUUCUAUUGGUUUAAAGGGAAAUUUGUAUUCUUUAUUUGCAUAAUCUUGUGAAUACAUUUGGUGCCCUUUUAUAGGUAUUUACAUGAAAUACAGAAACUAAAAAUUAAAGCAACUAAGUAAAAAAGUUUCUUUUGCAAUUUUUACACAAUUAAAAAAUUACCUAAACUAUUCUAAUUCGUAUUCCUCAUACCUUCUUGGCAUGCGUCCGAUCCGGGUUGGCCGAGUCACCACUGUUGCAUCCGACCUGUCCUCCACCUUUGCGUCGGAUUCUUCCUCAGUUUGUAUCUCUGUUUGCUCAUCCGUAAUGCGUUCAUCCUCAUCUUGGUCGGAAUCGAUGGAGUUUUCCUCGAUGUCUUCUUCACUGUUCUUUGAGUUACUGUGUGAUGGUGCGGUAUGAAGUAUAUACCAGACACUUUACUAUAAGUAUAUUACAAAUGUUUCCUCCUCUCUCCUACAUUCAACCCCUAGGGGUAUUUAUACACUUUCCUACUGGACCGGGUCUUCUUUCACUGGUCAAGUGGGCUUGCUGGGCCUGGUCUGAUGGACCAGGGGUAUCAUCACUGUGAAAGGUUUUUUCUAUUGUAGCAACUUCCAUUUGAAGUGCUUCAUGGCUCACCCUCUCUUCUAAAAUCUUAUCCUCAAGGUUGAGGUCGGGACAGAGCUUCUUCAAGAACGCGAUGUCUUCCCAAGUUGUAUCUUCUGACACUGAAUCAGAUCAUCUUACCAACAAUUGAGCUACCUUUACUUCUUUAUUGUAAAUUACCCUAUAAUCUGUAAAAGCGAUAGGAAUUAAUAUAGGAAGAUUUAGGAUAGAUUGUUUGGGAAGAUCAGGCACUUCCCUCUCUGAAUUAUCCUCCUUGUACAACUUGAGUUUAGAAAUGUGGAAUGUAGGGUGAAUUUUUCCUCCUUCCAAAAGUUUAAGCUUAUAUGCCACUGCGUUAAUCUUCUUGAUUAUCUUGAAAGGACCGAAAUAUCUCAUGCCUAAUUUCUGAUUGAUCUUAAGACUAUAAGGUUGUAAUCUCACCAAAACCCGAUCAUCAACUUUAAAUUCGAUACACCCUCUUUUUUUAUCAGCCCUGUUUUUCAUUUUUUUGUGUUGAACUCAAGUUUUUUCUUGACACUUUCCAAAAUUUGUUGCCUUUCUUCAAGAUUUAUUUCUACUGCCGAGAGAGUUGUUUCAGAUGGCAUGAUGUUAGGGAUUAGAAGAGCUUCUCUGCCGUAUAGUACCUUGAAAGGUGACAUUCCCAAGGAAGAGUGAUAUGCUGAGUUGUACAAUAGUUCUGCCUAGUGCAGUAUUUGUAACCAUUUUUUUGGACAGUCGUAGACUGAGGCUCUAAGGUACAUCUCAAUAGUUUUAUUCACAAUUUCAGUUUGCCCAUCGCCUUGUGGGUGAUAUGCUGAAGUAAAACAUAGAGUAGUAGUGCUACUUAAUUUAUGAAUCUCUUUCCAAAAUUUAGAUGUGAAGAUUUUGUCUCUAUCUGAGACUAUGGUUGAAGGAAACCCAUGUAGUUUAAUGAUGUUCUGAACAAAUAAUUUUACAACCAUUGUGGCAGUGAAAUCAGAAGGAAGGGCUCCUAAGUGACAAAUUUUUGUGAGUCUAUCCACUACUACCAUUAUAACUGUUUUUCCUUUGAUUGCUUGACGGUUGUUUUCUUGUGGAGUUAUUGUUGAAACAUAAUGAUAGGUCGCUUGCUUUUCCUGGAAUUGAUAUCCAUAAGCUCAAUCAUGAUUUGAUGCUUAUCCAAAAUCAGGUACCUUUUUCUAUUCUCAAACUCAUAUAUCAAAAUACAGAUUUGGUGGAACAAGACCAAAGGUUCAGUCUCUUCGAUCUAGCAAUCAAUUACUUGCACAAUAUAAAGAAGAGUAUCGACGGUGUAUAUAAAGAAGUUGAAAAUGUGGACCAUUUUCUCUACAUGUGUCGGUUGAAUCAGGUUCAGUUAAAAAAUGCUCCUUCACGAACGAAGCCAUGGUUGCAUCGUUUGCUAUACUCUGUGUAUCGACGUUGUUUCUCAUCAUCUUUUUUGCCAAAAGAUAUUAUAGAGAAGUGGCCAAACAUGAUCUUUGGAAAAUAAUAUUCAUAAUAAUAUCAACAUCUUCAUUGAUAAUAAUAAUAAUAAUACUAUGGAAAGGGGUUAAUUAAGAUGAUUAUAAAUCACAAUCAAUAUUCAAAGUCAAUUAAUGGAUAAAGAGCCAUGGCAACGGAGUUGAGAUUCGAUGUCUCGGAUAUAACCGAUUGGAGCAGCCUACUACGUCCAAACCCAAAUGUAAACAUGUGUAAAAUUCCAGCCGAGCUGGUUGAAGCUAAUGACAACAGUGAUCGGAAUUACGCGCCCAAAUACAUUUCCAUCGGACCAUAUCACUACGGGAAAGAAGUGCUCCGUUCGAUGCAAAAGGUCAAGUUGCAAUACCUCAAUGAUCUACUCGUCCGAAAUAACAACAACACCAUAGAAAGGUACAUGGAGAUAAUCAAAGAAGUGUAUUUAUCUUCUGAAAAAAAUAAGUAUUGUGAUUUCGAUGCUUGUGGAAUCUCCGAUGAUACCUUUUUGAAGAUGUUGGUGCUCGACGGUUGUUUUCUUGUGGAGAUAUUGUUGAAACAUAAUGAUGGGUCUUUGACUUUUCCUGGAAUUGAUAUCCAUAAGCUCAAUCAUGAUUUGAUGCUUAUCGAGAAUCAGGUACCUUUUUCUAUUCUCAAACUCAUAUAUCAAAACACAGAUUUGGUGGAACAAGACCAAAGGUUCAGUCUCUUCGUUCUGGCAAUCAAUUACUUGCACAAUGGAGAAAAGAGUAUCGAC
rnacentral:lncRNA from 1 species